CUCCUGGGAAACGGGUGGUAAUGCCGGAUGCUCCAGUUGAUCGCAUGGUCUUCUGGGAAAGCUUUCGCGGUAUGGGAUGGGGUCGCGUCCUAUCAGCUUGACGGCGGGGUAACGGCCCACCGUGGCUUCGACGGGUAGCCGGCCUGAGAGGGCGACCGGCCACAUUGGGACUGAGAUACGGCCCAGACUCCUACGGGAGGCAGCAGUGGGGAAUAUUGCACAAUGGGCGCAAGCCUGAUGCAGCGACGCCGCGUGAGGGAUGGAGGCCUUCGGGUUGUAAACCUCUUUUAUCGGGGAGCAAGCGAGAGUGAGUUUACCCGUUGAAUAAGCACCGGCUAACUACGUGCCAGCAGCCGCGGUAAUACGUAGGGUGCAAGCGUUAUCCGGAAUUAUUGGGCGUAAAGGGCUCGUAGGCGGUUCGUCGCGUCCGGUGUGAAAGUCCAUCGCUUAACGGUGGAUCCGCGCCGGGUACGGGCGGGCUUGAGUGCGGUAGGGGAGACUGGAAUUCCCGGUGUAACGGUGGAAUGUGUAGAUAUCGGAAAAAAAAC
rnacentral:rRNA from 1 species